AUCUUUCUAGUAUCAUUAGUAUUUGUGGCUUCCAACCAUAAGGUCUCGGUUUACCCCGGGGAAAGAUA
rnacentral:tRNA from 1 species